rnacentral:lncRNA from 1 species
CCACCACGUCACCGAGGGCCUGGCUAGGAACAACGGGCUGCGUCAACGAAAGCCUCGGUUCUUUUCCGCAUUUCUACGACGCUUUUUCGCGUGUUGUCAACGAGCGCGCCGCGCAACCAACGUUCCGCUAAACCGCUGCUUUUCCAGACUUGACGCCCAUGGGUUCUAAUACAAGCUUGUGCGCCUCGCUGCAUCGAUCUUGACACUGCACACAGACGUACCGUACCACUUACCUGACUCAAUGAUCGACAGCCUUCUGGAAAAUG